AGAGUUUGAUCAUGGCUCAGGAUGAACGCUGGCGGCAGGCUUAAUACAUGCAAGUUGAACGGUAACAUAUUGUAGCAAUACGAUGAUGACGAGUGGCGUACGGGUGCGUAACACGUGUGCAACCUACCUUAUACCGGAACAUAACGUCGAGAAAUUGACGCUAACAUUCCAUAACAUUGCUUGAAGGCAUCUUUUAGCAAUUAAAACUCCGGUGGUAUAAGAUGGGCACGCGUUCCAUUAGCUUGUUGGUAAGGUAACGGCUUACCAAGGCUACGAUGGAUAGGGGACCUGAGAGGGUGAUCCCCCACACUGGUACUGAGACACGGACCAGACUCCUACGGGAGGCAGCAGUGAGGAAUAUUGGUCAAUGGGCGGAAGCCUGAACCAGCCAUCCCGCGUGCAGGAAGACGGCCCUAUGGGUUGUAAACUGCUUUUCCAGGGGGAGAAACUUUCCGAUGAAUCGGGAUUUGACGGUACCCUGGGAAUAAGCAUCGGCUAACUCCGUGCCAGCAGCCGCGGUAAUACGGAGGAUGCGAGCGUUAUCCGGAUUUAUUGGGUUUAAAGGGUGCGUAGGCGGAUCGAUAAGUCAGUGGUGAAAACCUGCA
rnacentral:rRNA from 1 species